AUUGAACGCUGGCGGCAGGCCUAACACAUGCAAGUCCAGCGGAUGAAGGGAGCUUGCUCCUGGAUUCAGCGGCGGACGGGUGAGUAAUGCCUAGGAAUCUGCCUGGUAGUGGGGGAUAACGUCCGGAAACGGGCGCUAAUACCGCAUACGUCCUGAUGGAGAAAGUGGGGGAUCUUCGGACCUCACGCUAUCAGAUGAGCCUAGGUCGGAUUAGCUAGUUGGUGGGGUAAAGGCCUACCAAGGCGACGAUCCGUAACUGGUCUGAGAGGAUGAUCAGUCACACUGGAACUGAGACACGGUCCAGACUCCUACGGGAGGCAGCAGUGGGGAAUAUUGGACAAUGGGCGAAAGCCUGAUCCAGCCAUGCCGCGUGUGUGAAGAAGGUCUUCGGAUUGUAAAGCACUUUAAGUUGGGAGGAAGGGCAGUAAGUUAAUACCUUGCUGUUUUGACGUUACCAACAGAAUAAGCACCGGCUAACUUCGUG
rnacentral:rRNA from 1 species